rnacentral:rRNA from 1 species
UACGGAGGGUGCAAGCGUUAUCCGGAUUUACUGGGCUUAAAGGGUGUGUAGGCGGACUUUUAAGUCAGCGGUGAAAUCUCCGGGCUCAACCCGGAAACUGCCAUUGAUACUAUUGGUCUUGAAUAUUGUGGAGGUGGGCGGAACGGGUCAUGUAGCGGUGAAAUGCUUAGAGAUGACCCGGAACACCGAUUGCGAAGGCAGCCCACUACGCAAUGAUUGACGCUGAGGCACGAAAGCGUGGGGAUCAAACAGG